rnacentral:misc_RNA from 1 species
GUGGUCUUUUAGUGAAGUGCUUCAUGGGCUUGCGCAGCAAAAUUUUUGAGAAGUAUGUGCAGAAUUGGAUUGCAAUUGCUGCGCCAUUCCAGGGUGCACCUGGAUAUGUUACAUCAACCUUUGUGAGUGGAAUGUCAUUUGUUAGUGGAUGGAGACAGAACUUCUUCAUAUCAAAGUGGAGCAUGCACCAACUGCUUAUUGAAUGCCCAUCCAUUUACGAACUAAUGGGCUCUCCAGAC